rnacentral:misc_RNA from 1 species
AAUCUGGAAUUUUUGGGAAUAAGGUCUCAAUCAUGUCUUCUUCAAAGCGAAAUCACAAGGAAAAGAUUGUUCGUCGCAACAAAGAAGAGAAGGUUGAAGAACCGGAGUUACCAAAGUACAGAGACAGAGCUAAAGAAAGGAGAGAAGAUCAAAAUCCUGAUUAUGAACUCACUGAAUUUGGUGGUUUUCAUGCUGUUGCUCCUCCCGGGAAUAUUGAUCUCCUCUCUGCUGAUGCUCAGAAAUUAUCUAUUGAGAAGAGCAAGUAUCUUGGAGGUGAUGUGGAACAUACACAUUUGGUUAAAGGGUUAGAUUAUGCUUUGCUUCACAAAGUGAGAAGUGAAAUAGAUAAGAAGCCAGAAACUGGAGAUGAGGCGUUAGAAGGAAAAGCUAGAGGUGUAAAGGAAGAUCAUCAAUUGUCAUUCCGUACUGCAACUGCCAAGUCAGUAUACCAAUGGAUAAUCAAGCCUCAGACUGUUAUAAAGACCAACGAAAUGUUUCUUCCUGGACGGAUGGCUUUUAUUUUUAAUAUGGAUAGUGGAUACUCCAAUGAUAUUCCUACAACUCUACACAGAAGCAAAGCUGACUGUCCAGUCCUCGAGGAAAUGGUUACAGUCAGUGUUGAUGGUUCUGUUCUAGACCGAAUAGCUAAAAUCAUGUCCUAUCUCCGUCUUGGAUCAUCAGGAAAAGUUCUCAAAAAGAAGAAGAAGGAAAAAGAUAGCAAAGGGAAGACAGUUAUAU